CAGGCCUAACACAUGCAAGUCGAGCGGCAGCGAGGGUAAAGUAGCUUGCUACUUUUGCCGGCGAGCGGCGGACGAGUGAGUAAUGCCUGGGGAUCUGCCCAGUCGAGGGGGAUAACUACUGGAAACGGUAGCUAAUACCGCAUACGCCCUACGGGGGAAAGCAGGGGACCUUCGGGCCUUGCGCGAUUGGAUGAACCCAGGUGGGAUUAGCUAGUUGGUGAGGUAAUGGCUCACCAAGGCGACGAUCCCUAGCUGGUCUGAGAGGAUGAUCAGCCACACUGGAACUGAGACACGGUCCAGACUCCUACGGGAGGCAGCAGUGGGGAAUAUUGCACAAUGGGGGAAACCCUGAUGCAGCCAUGCCGCGUGUGUGAAGAAGGCCUUCGGGUUGUAAAGCACUUUCAGCGAGGAGGAAAGGUUGGUAGCUAAUAACUGCCAGCUGUGACGUUACUCGCAGAAGAAGCACCGGCUAAC
rnacentral:rRNA from 1 species